rnacentral:tRNA from 1 species
AUAAUAAUAGUUUAUCUAAAACAUAAAGUUGCAAACUUUACAAAUGCUGUGCGUUAUUAUU